rnacentral:rRNA from 1 species
UGGGGAAUUUUGCACAAUGGGGGAAACCCUGAUGCAGCGACGCCGCGUGAUUUAGAAGGCCUUCGGGUUGUAAAAAUCUUUUGUAUGGGAAGAAAAUGACAGUACCAUACGAAUAAGGACCGGCUAAUUACGUGCCAGCAGCCGCGGUAAUACGUAAGGUCCGAGCGUUGUCCGGAAUCAUUGGGCGUAAAGGGUACGUAGGCGGAUAAGCAAGUUAGAAGUGAAAUCCUAUAGCUCAACUAUAGUAAGCUUUUAAAACUGCUCAUCUUGAGGUAUGGAAGGGAAAGUGGAAUUCCUAGUGUAGCGGUGAAAUGCGCAGAUAUUAAAAAGAAUACCGGUGGCGAAGGCGACUUACUGGGCUCAUUCUGACGCUGAGGAACGAAAGCGUGGGUAGCAAACAGG